UGCGGGGUGGAGCAGUCCGGUAGCUCGUUGGGCCCAUAACCCAAAGAUCCCAGGUUCAAAUCCUGGCCCCGCUACCA
rnacentral:tRNA from 1 species